CCUGCUGUCCCAUUUGCAGUAGUUCAGAAACUUGUCUAUCAUCCCAGCUUGGCAUGAGCCAGGGCCCCAGGAAGGGGUGGAGAUAAAUGUCCCAUCUCCGGAAUGGGGUGAGAGAAGAACGAAAUGAGCUCAACCCAGCACACUGAAUUACCAGAAGUAAUUCAACCUACCAGUUUUAUUUCUAAGUAUUGAGCGAGAGCCUGAAAUACCUUCCACAUUGUUUUGGAUUCAUCAGAAGUACAAAGAUAUAUCUCAUAGCAUAUCUGCCAUCAGGAAACUUAGGUUCCAGAAGAGGAGUUAAGACUCAUAAACCACUGGGCUCUGUGGCUCAUAUCUGUAAUCUCAGUGCUUCGGGAGGCCAGGGUGGGAGGAUCACUUGAGGCCGAAAAUUUGAGACCAGCCUGGGCAACAUAGUGAGACCCCAUCUCUAAAAAAAAUUUUUUUUAAUUAGCUGGGCAUGGUGGUGUAGUCUCAGCUACUUGGGGUGCUGAGCGGGGAGGAUCGCUUGGACCCAGGAGUUUGAAGCUGCAGCUAGCUAUGAUUGAUUACACCAUUGCACUCUAGCAUGCUCAACAGAACAGCACCCUGCCUAAAAAAGAAAAAAAAAAAAGACUCAGAACCUAAAAAUGACAGGCAACUCAAGACCAUUAUGUGUGUGAAAUGACUCUGAAUGCUAUGAGCUCAGAGAAAAAUCCUGAAGCUGUCGGGGAGGACGGAAGAUAGAGGUGUGGCUUGAACGAGAUGUUGAGGAUGAGGAAGAUUGAUUGAAAUGAGAAACAUUAUUUUUAGGUCCCCUGAGUGUAUGUAUAAAGACAUAAAUAAGCUUGCUGAGGAGACAAACAGCGGAAAUGCUGAGAGAAUUUCCAAGGGCAGCAAACACACCAGCCCAACCAGAUGACGAAGGGUCUCCCAAGCCAUUGCUCUCACUCAAUGCUGCCCUGAGAGUUCGUUGGGAUGUUUCAAUGACAGUAAGAGCCCACACCAUCAAAGCGUUCUUGGCGUUGCAUUACGUAAAACUCUGCAGGAAGACAGUACCUCUAGGAAUGCACCUGUCAUCAAAGCAGGGCCCACCCAGUUAGGAAACAAGGCCGGGCUGGUCCAGAAGGAUGUGGCUGACUAUUGCACUCACCAGGAAAGAAGGUGCACACUUGCUGGCAUUUGUGGUUGCAUUGUGGUUCAGCAAUGAUUAUUCCACCAACUAAGCCACUUCCUAAAGCACAGUUCCACGUAUGGCAUAAAGGGCGGCUUCAACUGCCCUGGCUAAUGUCUGGAACAUUCACAGAGCCACACACUGCCCCUGGGGAAUGCCAGUGUCAUGAAGUCUCUCUGGGAAGGGUCGGCCACACCUCUCCAGCUUCCCUCUUCCCUCCCUUUGGGGGAUGCCACCCUUCCUGCCAGGCUGCCUCCUGGCCUCUCCAUGUCACUUCAGCCAUGCCAGGGCACUGAUCUCACGGGAAGGCUGCAACUCCUCCAUCCCACAGAAAUGACAGUCACACCCACCAACUGCCUCAACUUGGAGAAGCUAUUUUAAGACCACACCUACCCUAAGGGAAGUUAAACAGCCAGUAUAUUUGCUCCCAAUUUACCCAUGGAGAAACUGAAUCAAGAUCUGACUUACCAGGGCAAUCUCAACAAUUCAGUGACUCAUUGAGGUCAGAAUUCCACAAAGCCUAACCAGAGCCUGUGUGCCCUCAGACACGUCACCCUCUAUGCUGUGUCGUGGAGGUAGGACCUGCCUGGUUCCAGCAGUUUUGCCCACAGCUCUGCUGUAGAUCCCGCCUCUCAGACCCUAUUAUGUUUCGGUCAUUAAAUCUGUAAUCCUGAAUCCCACACAGACUUGCAAGUCAAGGAAUUCAGGCUGAGAAGGGUUCUCUCUGCUUAUGAGAGAAACACUCCCAUGAAAUGUGCAUCUGUGUGUGUCUGUCCAUUCGGAUGCAAUCAAUGGCAGUAAAUUCUUUGUAUUGUGAUAAGAAUCCCUAGCAAAGAAUCAACAAGUUGAGAC
rnacentral:lncRNA from 10 species